CCUACGGGUGGCUGCAGUGAGGAAUAUUGGUCAAUGGGCGUAAGCCUGAACCAGCCAAGUCGCGUGCGGGAUGACGGUUCUAUGGAUCGUCAACCUCUUUUAUACGGGAAUAAAGUGUGGGACGUGUCCUGUUUUGUAUGUACCUUAUGAAUAAGGAUCGGCUAACUCCGUGCCAGCAGCCGCGGUAAUACGGAGGAUCCGAGCGUUAUCCGGAUUUAUUGGGUUUAAAGGGUGCGUAGGCUGGGAGGUAAGUCAGCGGUGAAAUGCCCCCGCUCAACGGGGUGAAGUGCCAUUGAUACUGCCGUGCUGGAAUGCGGAUGCCGUGGGAGGAAUGUGUGGUGUAGCGGUGAAAUGCAUAGAUAUGACACAGAACACCGAUUGCGAAGGCAUCUCACGAAUCCGCGAUUGACGCUGAUGCACGAAAGCGUGGGUAUCAAACAGGAUUAGAUACCCCGGUAGUC
rnacentral:rRNA from 1 species